rnacentral:rRNA from 1 species
GAUGAACGCUGGCGGCGUGCCUAAUACAUGCAAGUCGAGCGAACAGAUAAGGAGCUUGCUCCUUUGACGUUAGCGGCGGACGGGUGAGUAACACGUGGGUAACCUACCUAUAAGACUGGAAUAACUCCGGGAAACCGGGGCUAAUGCCGGAUAACAUUUAGAACCGCAUGGUUCUAAAGUGAAAGAUGGUUUUGCUAUCACUUAUAGAUGGACACGCGCCGUAUUAGCUAGUUGGUAAGGUAACGGCUUACCAAGGCAACGAUACGUAGCCGACCUGAGAGGGUGAUCGGCCACACUGGAACUUAAACACCGUCCAUACUCCUACGGUAGGCAGCAGUAGGGAAUCUUCCGCAAUGGUCGAAAGCCUGACGCAACAACGCCACGUGAGUUAUGAAGGUCUUCCGAUCGUAAAACUCUCUUAUUAGGUAAGAACAAAUGUAUAAGUAACUGUGCACGUCUUGACGGUACCUAAUCAGAAAGCCACGGCUAACUACGUG